CUUGAAACUUGAGUGAUAGUGCUUGUUUGCAGUUUGCCAGGCAGCAGUUACUGUACAUGCAGGGUAAGGGAAGAAGAUAACACCUGGGAUGGAGAUGAAGUUCUCCUUGCUGAUCUGACUUCACCAUGAUUCUUAGUUCUUGCUUCACAAAGAUGUCGACAAGGAUGGCACAUCUGUGUACGGAGACCCCCUGUGCACAGGCGACUUCAUUUCUACAUAGCUGCUUUCUGGAAGCUUGCAGUAACAGGCCCAAUAAAAGGAAAUGACCUGCCCAAGGACACCUAGCAGGUUGACAGACCAGAACGUGGCAGACCUUCAGAUGGCCUGCUGACUUUCCCCAGCACUAGCUUGUGGUUACCCUCGCUUGGCUCACAGGAAGCUUGCCAAGGAUGAGCACAGUGAAGCUGAGACUGCCUGCUCCAUCUGCUCUCCAGCAUCUGGAACCUCCUCCCUCUCCUCGGUACCCACCUUACUCCCCCUCUCUGUCCA